UUUUUUAAGAGUUUGAUCCUGGCUCAGGAUGAAUGUUGGCGGCGUGCCUGAGAUAUGCAAGUCGAGCGUCUUUUCUACCGCAAGGUGGAAAGGUAGCGGCGGACGGCUGAGUAACACGUAGGGAUCUGCCCUUGUUUGGAGGAUAGCCCCGCGAAAGCGGGGAUAAUACUCCAUAAUGUCUUCGGACUAAAGAGAGUAACUUCUUGAACAAGGAUGUUCCUGCGGCUUAUCAGGUAGUUGGUAGGGUAAUGGCCUACCAAGCCUAUGACGAGUAGCUGGCCUGAGAGGGUGGUCAGCCAGAGGGGCACUGAGAUACGGGCCCCACUCCUACGGGAGGCAGCAAUCAGGAAUAGUCGGCAAUGGGCGAAAGCCUGACCGCGCGACGCCGCGUGUAGGAAUAAGCUCUUCGGAGCGUAAACUACUGUGGUAGGGGAAGAAGUCCCGACUUAGUCGGGAUUGACGGUACCUUACUAGAAAGGGGCCGCUAACUGCGUGCCAGAAGCGUCGGUAAUACGUGGGCCCCAAACAUUAUCCGGUUUUAUUGGGUGUAAAAAGUAGUGUAGGCGUUCUAAUAAGUCCUGGUUUAAAUACUAUAGCUUAACUAUAGGAAAGGCCGGGAAACUGAUAGAAUAGAGUUUUCUUUAGGGCGACUGGAACUUAGGGAGGAGUAGUGAAAUGCGUUGAUACCCUAGGGAACACCAGUGGCGAAGGCGAGUCGCUGAAAGAUAACUGACGCUGAGACACGAAAGCUAGGGUAGCGAAGCACAAGGUUGAAACUCAAAGGAAUUGGCGGGGAGGCACACAACCAGUGGAACAUGUGGUUCAAUUCGAAACGAACCGAAGAACCUCACCAGGGUUUGACAUCUCAGCGUUCUAUUCCGCAGAAAUGCGGGAAAUCCGUAAGGAGGCUGGGACAGGUGCUGCAUGGCUGUCGUCAGCUCGUUCCGUGAGGAGUGCCCUUAAGUGGGACAACGAGCGCAACCCCCAUCCUGUGUUAAAUCUGUCACAGGAAACUGCCCUGAUAUUAAUCGGGGAGGAAGGAGGGGUAGACGUCAAGUCAGCAUGGUCCUCAUACCCUGGGCUACACACAUGUUACAAUGGAUAAAAACAACGGGUUUUGCAAGCCGGCAACGGCAAGCAAAUCUCUAAAAUUUAUCCUCAGUGGGGAUUGAGGUCUGAAACUCGACCUCAUGAACACGGAAUUGGUAGUAAUCGCAAGUCAGCUAUAUUGCGGUGAAUACGUUCUUGCCUCUUGCACACACCGCCCGUCAAGCCAACAAAGUCGGGAAAAUUUGAACCCCGAGUUAAUCGGGGGAGAAUUUACUCGGCGAUGGGGGUUAAGUCGUAACAAGGUAUCCGUUCUGGAAGGAGCGGAUGGAUCACCUCCUUU
rfam:Microgenomates (Roizmanbacteria) bacterium GW2011_GWA2_36_23 TS11_C0004, whole genome shotgun sequence.